GCAAGUCGAACGAGGUAUUUUGAUUGCAGUUUUCGGAUGGAUUUCAAGAUACCGAGUGGCGGACGGGUGAGUAAUGCGUGGGUAACCUGCCUCAUACAGGGGGAUAACGGUUAGAAAUGACUGCUAAUACCGCAUAAGCGCACAGUACCGCAUGGUACGGUGUGAAAAACGCCGGUGGUAUGAGAUGGACCCGCGUCUGAUUAGCUAGUUGGAGAGGUAACGGCCCACCAAGGCGACGAUCAGUAGCCGACCUGAGAGGGUGACC
rnacentral:rRNA from 1 species